rnacentral:rRNA from 1 species
GGCGGACGGGUGAGUAACACGUAAGAAUUUGCCUUUAGGAGGGGGACAACAACUGGAAACGGUUGCUAAUACCCCAUAUGCUUUCGAGUGAAACGGUUUUUCCGCCUAAAGAGAAGCUUGCGGCUGAUUAGCUUGUUGGUGAGGUAAUGGCUCACCAAGGCGACGAUCAGUAUCUGGUUUGAGAGGACGAUCAGACACACUGGAACUGAGACACGGUCCAGACUCCUACGGGAGGCAGCAGUGGGGAAUUUUCCGCAAUGGGCGAAAGCCUGACGGAGCAAUACCGCGUGAGGGAUGACGGCCUAUGGGUUGUAAACCUCUUUUCUCAGGGAGGAAUCAAUGACGUGUACCUGAGGAAUAAGCAUCGGCUAACUCCGUGCCAGCAGCCGCGGUAAGACGGAGGAUGCAAGUGUUAUCCGGAAUCACUGGGCGUAAAGCGUCUGUAGGUGGUCAAAUAAGUCAACUGUUAAAUCUUGAGGCUUAACCUCAAAAUCGCAGUCGAAACUAUUAGACUAGAGUAUAGUA